GGAAAGCGAAGAGGUUUCAACGCCUUACGGAAACAUAAGAUAAGACGCGGAUAACCCGCUAUACAUCUUGAAAACCAGCGUACGGGAAACCGUACCGUGGGUUCGAAUCCCACCCUGUCCGCCA
rnacentral:tRNA from 1 species